CACGGAGGGUGCAAGCGUUGUCCGGAAUCACUGGGCGUAAAGGGCGCGUAGGCGGCUCAUGAAGGCUGUGGUGAAAGUCCGGGGCUCAACCUCGGAUCGGCCGUGGCGACUCGUGGGCUGGAGCACUGUAGAGGCGGGUGGAAUUCCGGGUGUAGCGGUGGAAUGCGUAGAGAUCCGGAAGAACACCAGUGGCGAAGGCGGCCCGCUGGGCAGUGGCUGACGCUGAGGCGCGACAGCGUGGGGAGCAAACAGG
rnacentral:rRNA from 1 species